rnacentral:rRNA from 1 species
AGUGAACGCUGGCGGUAGGCCUAACACAUGCAAGUCGAACGGCAGCACAGUAAGAGCUUGCUCUUACGGGUGGCGAGUGGCGGACGGGUGAGGAAUACAUCGGAAUCUACUUUUUCGUGGGGGAUAACGUAGGGAAACUUACGCUAAUACCGCAUACGACCUACGGGUGAAAGCCGGGGAUCUUCCGACCUUGCGCGAUUGAAUGAGCCGAUGUCGGAUUAGCUAGUUGGCGGGGUAAAGGCCCACCAAGGCGACGAUCCGUAGCUGGUCUGAGAGGAUGAUCAGCCACACUGGAACUGAGACACGGUCCAGACUCCUACGGGAGGCAGCAGUGGGGAAUAUUGGACAAUGGGCGCAAGCCUGAUCCAGCCAUACCGCGUGGGUGAAGAAGGCCUUCGGGUUGUAAAGCCCUUUUGUUGGGAAAGAAAAGCAGCAGGUUAAUACCCCGCUGUUCUGACGGUACCCAAAGAAUAAGCACCGGCUAACUUCGUG